AUUAUUAUUAUUAUUAUUAUUAUUAUUAUAAUUAGUGCUAUAAAGAUGUUGACAUUUAUUAUUCACCCUGUAUGUUGAAAAAAACCUAAAUUAUUGUCCCAUAAUGCAAUAUUCAGAAUGGAGACAAAGUAACCCAAUUAUUAUUAUUAUUUUAUAUGUAAUAAUUAUAACAAUAUUGUAAGGUAUACAAGUGGUAUUACAGUCACAAUCUGUCUCUUCGUUGUUUUUUUUGUUUACAGGCCUUCUAUACAGUAAGACUUGGGUCAUUUUGAUUGGGUUUUUAAGAAGCAGGGAGUUCCUAAGAAAAGCUGGUGUUUGGUGUUUAGACCUUUUUGUUUCUGUUGAUCCGUCAGUUCUGUUUGAGCAGAAGAAAGUCCCUCUAGUAGCUUUAACUACAGAUCUUCAAAUAAUGGCGAACACUUUACACUAAUGUUCCUUAGGACAAAUGUACUGAGUAUUUCAAUUGCAUGAGGAAUACGUUAACACUGUUUACUAGUAGUGAGUGAGAGUGUUUCACUCUGACCACGUUUUGUUUGUUGACCACCGAGUGGUCUUGGUGAUCGAAAAGCAUUCGAUAUUGUCACUUUUUGAAUGCCGUAUCUGUGUUCCCUUAGGCACUGUGUGCAAGAGCUGGAUCAAACUUGGUAUAAAAUUAUAUAUUGUGCCUGGUGUGCAUCUUUUGCUUGAGAGGCUGCUGUGGCAUUCCCCACAACUUGAUUUCAAUACAUGAUGAUGCGGAAAGCCUGCACAACAGUUUGAAAACUUCCUCGGCUCCGGUUGGCUGGCUUGUCACACACAGACUCUGGCAUCACUCCAAUUCCUGCUCUGUCUAACCUGCAGCAACACAACCAUGAGACAUGAGUGAAGGGGUCUCGCUGUGAGGUU
ensembl:lncRNA